AUUGAACGCUGGCGGCAUGCCUAACACAUGCAAGUCGCGCGAGCGGCAGGCGGGAGAGUAAUGUAUGGUGACUGCCCGAUAGAGGGGGAUAACUAAUGGACACGGUAGCUAAUACCGCAUACUAUAGGAUAACCCUUAUGGGAUUAGCUCGUAGGUGAGGUAAUGACUCACCUGGGCGACGAUGCCUAGCUGUUCUGAGAGGAUGAUCAGACACACGGGGGCUGAGAGACGGCCCAGACUCCUACGGAGGCAGCAGUGGGGAACAUUGAGGAAUGGGCGCAAGCCUGAUGCAGCCAAUCCGCGUGUAUGAAGCAGGCCCUAGGGUUGUAAAGUAAGUUAAGUCGGGAGGCGUUACCUACAGAAGAAGCACCGGCUAACUCCGUGCCAGCAGCCGCGGUAAUUC
rnacentral:rRNA from 1 species